AUUGAACGCUGGCGGCAGGCCUAACACAUGCAAGUCGAGCGGAUGAAGGGAGCUUGCUCCUGGAUUCAGCGGCGGACGGGUGAGUAAUGCCUAGGAAUCUGCCUGGUAGUGGGGGAUAACGUCCGGAAACGGGCGCUAAUACCGCAUACGUCCUGAGGGAGAAAGUGGGGGAUCUUCGGACCUCACGCUAUCAGAUGAGCCUAGGUCGGAUUAGCUAGUUGGUGGGGUAAAGGCCUACCAAGGCGACGAUCCGUAACUGGUCUGAGAGGAUGAUCAGUCAAACUGGAACUGAGACACGGUCCAGACUCCUACGGGAGGCAGCAGUGGGGAAUAUUGGACAAUGGGCGAAAGCCUGAUCCAGCCAUGCCGCGUGUGUGAAGAAGGUCUUCGGAUUGUAAAGCACUUUAAGUUGGGAGGAAGGGCAGUAAGUUAAUACCUUGCUGUUAUGACGUUACCAACAGAAUAAGCACCGGCUAACUUCGUG
rnacentral:rRNA from 1 species